CUAGCACUUGAGUCCCUCCUCUUUCAGAUCCUGAUGUUCGCAUGUGGAGCGCACAGGUCAGACUCAUAGGAUGGGUCAGGCUGGAAGGGACCUCAGUGACCAUCGGGUCCAACCUCCCUGUUCAAGCAGGGUGAUCCCAGAGCACAUGGAACAGGAUCGUUCUUGAGUGUCCCCAGUGAGCGAGACUUCACCGCCGUUCCCGUACUCGAUCCCUGCGCAGUGAAGUUCCUCCUCAUGAUCAGGUGGAGCUUCCUGGCCUCUGUUUUUGCCCAUUACCUCUUGUCCCGUUUCUUGGAGGACAGGACCGAGCAGAGCCGGGAUCCAUCGCUGACCCCCUGUCUUCAGAUACUCGCAGACCUUGAUGGGUGUUCCUAUCUUAAUAGUGUUCUGCAAGUUGCUGAGGCUCCAGCACAUCUGAGUCAGCAGAAAUCUGCAAAGAUGUCUGGCAGAGAUUUCCUCUCGUGACUGUAUGACAAGGAGCAAGACACAAGACUGCUGCUAGCCCACAAAGGGGGAAUUUUGAGCUUCUGACUUCUCCGAGAUUGGCAAGAGGUGAGGGAUAUUAAAAUUCAGUUUGCUGUACAAUCACCACACAAUCUUUAGUGUCUUUUAACUGUUCUGUUUUCAUAAGACCAUUGGAGCUGUGCUGCCACCAGGAUGUAAAAACCCUCUGGCAAUUGAAAAGUACCAACACAGAGCCUGUGCUUCUGUGUUGCAUAGAGAUGGGCUUUUUACCUUUCUCUUAAUAUAUUUCUGUUCACAAAGGUAGCAAGCUGAUUUUAUAGGAAAUUUAUUUUUAAAUGUUUUGUUUAUCCUGUAUACAUAAAAAUUUAUCCUAGUUUUCCAAAGCAAAACUUUGGGUGAAAUAUUUAAAUAUAGUAAUCAGCAAGUCAUCUGGUGAAUAUAGAAAAUUUUAGAUAGCCACAGAUUUUAUCAGAAUAAUUAUACAAGCAUUAUACUAAGAGGUAUCCAAUGCUUUUACCUCCCUAGGUUCCAACUGAAUUAGCACAGCAUGUAUGUGUGCACAGGGAGAGGCAGACAAUGCUAUUUCCCUCUGUAUUCAGUCAGGCCAAAAUGAAAGAGAACAGUAUCAAUU
rnacentral:lncRNA from 1 species